rnacentral:rRNA from 1 species
UACGUAGGGUGCGAGCGUUGUCCGGAAUUAUUGGGCGUAAAGAGCUCGUAGGCGGUUUGUCGCGUCUGCUGUGAAAACUCGGGGCUUAACCCCGGACUUGCAGUGGGUACGGGCAGACUAGAGUGUGGUAGGGGAGACUGGAAUUCCUGGUGUAGCGGUGAAAUGCGCAGAUAUCAGGAGGAACACCGAUGGCGAAGGCAGGUCUCUGGGCCACUACUGACGCUGAGAAGCGAAAGCAUGGGGAGCGAACAGG